GUUCCGCUGUGCGACUGGCGGCUUAGCGUGGAGCACCACGAGGAAGCACAGCGAUAUCUGCCGACCGCCUGGGCCCGACGC
rnacentral:ncRNA from 2 species